UUUGCGGCCCCUUCCUCGCUUUCCGGCACCGAGUCAGUGAAACUGCAGUCCCCCGGGCCUCGGGGAGGGCUUGGCGCAGGGCGGCUGCGAGACCCCUUUCUCCCGCUACGCAGCUCGGAUCCGUGGCAUCCUCUGAGGUAAAUGAAGAGGUGUGGUCUCAAUAUGUAUAGAGAAAAAUACCAAAAAUGUUCUGCAACUGGUUUUCUUUGCACAACCUUUUUAACUACUUGUGUGAUACUAAGCAAAUUUUAUUGGGGCGCCAGGGGCGCCCCGCUCGCUCCCCCACUCAGCCCCCGACCACGACCCUCACGCUCGGUCGACCCGUCCUCCCUGGGUGCACGGGGCCGCACACACCACUCACCAUCUCCGGAGGCGGUGGCUGCAGCGGCGACGCCCCAAUCGAACAACUUUCUUGAUGUGCUUGUGACUCAGUUUAGCCAUCUUUUAAGUGAUGGUGGCAGAUAGAAGACCUGCUGUUGUGAAAUUCUACUUCAUAGGGCUGUUGUGAAAUUCAUAUGGCAUAAUAAAUGUGUAAAUGCUUUGAAAAUUUCAAAGCACUAUGUAAAUAUAAGGUAUUAUUAUAGGCAAAUAUACUUAAAACCAAAUAUCUAGUUCAAGGGACUUUACCCUAAACAACCUGUUUUACUACUUACUGUUUCAGAAAGCAAACAGGCUUAUCUCUCUCCCUGUGUGCAUGCGUGCACACACACACACACA